rnacentral:rRNA from 1 species
UACGUAGGGUGCAAGCGUUAAUCGGAAUUACUGGGCGUAAAGCGUGCGCAGGCGGUUAUGUAAGACAGAUGUGAAAUGCCCGGGCUUAACCUGGGAACUGCAUUUGUGACUGCAUGGCUAGAGUUUGGCAGAGGGGGAUGGAAUUCCGCGUGUAGCAGUGAAAUGCGUAGAUAUGCGGAGGAACACCGAUGGCGAAGGCAAUCCCCUGGGCCUGUACUGACGCUCAUGCACGAAAGCGUGGGGAGCAAACAGG